AAUAAUUUGGGAAUACCACAGGUCCACAACUGUAAAUUGAAAAGGAAAAAAGACGAAGAAAUGUAAACAAUAAAUAAAUUUUAAAAAAAAGGACAGAAAAAUAAGGAAACAAAUUUAAACAAACUAGGGUUUUAGCUAUUAUAUCUUGAACCACAAACUAUUAAAAUACUAAAAUAAUUAUUAAUAAUAACCACUAUCACCACUUAGCACUUACCCCCCCAAAAAAACACAAGAAUAAACACUAUAUACACUACAAGUAUAUAUUUUAAUAAAAGGAAAAAAGGGAAUACCUUAAGAACAAAGAAAGGUGGAGUAACUUAAUCAGAGGCGUUCAUCCCUAACUCCAAGCUCUAGGGUCUCGUAGAGAGAGAGAGAGUAUGUGCUAUUUUAGAGAGAGAAAGAGGGAAAUAAUCAGAUGAAAAUUAUGGAAAUUUUUUGGCAACCCAAUCUGCUAGUAUUUAUUUUAUUGUACGUAUUACGGUAUUAGUAGGGAGGAGUAGACUCGUUAGUGUAGAAAAUUACUUGUACUCGCCUGAUAUGGAUAGGCGAGUAGAAUUAUGUUCUAGCGAGUACAAAGAUUUAUGACUUGAGAAGUACAGAAUAGACGGUGAUUUGUUAAGCGGGAAAUAAAGGGAAUUUAGGCGGUAAAAUGGAAAAG
rnacentral:lncRNA from 1 species